AUGAACGCUAGCUACAGGCUUAACACAUGCAAGUCGAGGGGCAGCAUGGUCUUAGCUUGCUAAGGCCGAUGGCGACCGGCGCACGGGUGAGUAACACGUAUCCAACCUGCCGUCUACUCUUGGACAGCCUUCUGAAAGGAAGAUUAAUACAAGAUGGCAUCAUGAGUCCGCAUGUUCACAUGAUUAAAGGUAUUCCGGUAGACGAUGGGGAUGCGUUCCAUUAGAUAGUAGGCGGGGUAACGGCCCACCUAGUCUUCGAUGGAUAGGGGUUCUGAGAGGAAGGUCCCCCACAUUGGAACUGAGACACGGUCCAAACUCCUACGGGAGGCAGCAGUGAGGAAUAUUGGUCAAUGGGCGAGAGCCUGAACCAGCCAAGUAGCGUGAAGGAUGACUGCCCUAUGGGUUGUAAACUUCUUUUAUAAAGGAAUAAAGUCGGGUAUGGAUACCCGUUUGCAUGUACUUUAUGAAUAAGGAUCGGCUAACUCCGUGCCAGCAGCCGCGGUAAUACGGAGGAUCCGAGCGUUAUCCGGAUUUAUUGGGUUUAAAGGGAGCGUAGAUGGAUGUUUAAGUCAGUUGUGAAAGUUUGCGGCUCAACCGUAAAAUUGCAGUUGAUACUGGAUAUCUUGAGUGCAGUUGAGGCAGGCGGAAUUCGUGGUGUAGCGGUAAAAUGCUUAGAUAUCACGAAGAACUCCGAUUGCGAAGGCAGCCUGCUAAGCUGCAACUGACAUUGAGGCUCGAAAGUGUGGGUAUCAAACAGGAUUAGAUACCCUGGUAGUCCACACGGUAAACGAUGAAUACUCGCUGUUUGCGAUAUACAGCAAGCGGCCAAGCGAAAGCGUUAAGUAUUCCACCUGGGGAGUACGCCGGCAACGGUGAAACUCAAAGGAAUUGACGGGGGCCCGCACAAGCGGAGGAACAUGUGGUUUAAUUCGAUGAUACGCGAGGAACCUUACCCGGGCUUAAAUUGCAGAUGAAUUACGGUGAAAGCCGUAAGCCGCAAGGCAUCUGUGAAGGUGCUGCAUGGUUGUCGUCAGCUCGUGCCGUGAGGUGUCGGCUUAAGUGCCAUAACGAGCGCAACCCUUGUUGUCAGUUACUAACAGGUUCCGCUGAGGACUCUGACAAGACUGCCAUCGUAAGAUGUGAGGAAGGUGGGGAUGACGUCAAAUCAGCACGGCCCUUACGUCCGGGGCUACACACGUGUUACAAUGGGGGGUACAGAGGGCCGCUACCACGCGAGUGGAUGCCAAUCCCCAAAACCUCUCUCAGUUCGGACUGGAGUCUGCAACCCGACUCCACGAAGCUGGAUUCGCUAGUAAUCGCGCAUCAGCCACGGCGCGGUGAAUACGUUCCCGGGCCUUGUACACACCGCCCGUCAAGCCAUGGGAGCCGGGGGUACCUGAAGUGCGUAACCGCGAGGAGCGCCCUAGGGUAAAACUGGUGACUGGGGCU
rnacentral:rRNA from 1 species